CAGUAGCCGCGGUAAUACAGAGGGUGCAAGCGUUAAUCGGAAUUACUGGGCGUAAAGCGCGCGUAGGUUGUUUGUUAAGUUGGAUGUGAAAUCCCCGGGCUCAACCUGGGAACUGCAUCCAAAACUGGCAGGCUAGAGUAGGGCAGAGGGUGGUGGAAUUUCCUGUGUAGCGGUGAAAUGCGUAGAUAUAGGAAGGAACACCAGUGGCGAAGGCGACCACCUGGGCUCAUACUGACACUGAGGUGCGAAAGCGUGGGGAGCAAACAGGAUUAGAUACCCCAGUAGUCCCUGUCUCUUAUAC
rnacentral:rRNA from 1 species